rnacentral:rRNA from 1 species
UGCCAGCCGCCGCGGUAAUACGGAGGGUGCAAGCGUUAUCCGGAUUUAUUGGGUUUAAAGGGUCCGUAGGCGGAUGAUUAAGUCAGUGGUGAAAGCCCACAGCUCAACUGUGGAAUUGCCAUUGAUACUGAUCAUCUUGAGUACAAUUGAAGUUGGCGGAAUAGGUCAUGUAGCGGUGAAAUGCUUAGAUAUGACCUAGAACACCGAUUGCGAAGGCAGCCAACUAAGCUGUAACUGACGCUGAGGGACGAAAGCGUGGGGAGCGAACAGGAUUAGAUA